AGUGAACGCUGGCGGUAGGCCUAACACAUGCAAGUCGAACGGCAGCACAGUAAGAGCUUGCUCUUACGGGUGGCGAGUGGCGGACGGGUGAGGAAUACAUCGGAAUCUACUUUUUCGUGGGGGAUAACGUAGGGAAACUUACGCUAAUACCGCAUACGACCUACGGGUGAAAGCAGGGGAUCUUCGGACCUUGCGCGAUUGCAUGAGCCGAUGUCGGAUUAGCUAGUUGGCGGGGUAAAGGCCCACCAAGGCGACGAUCCGUAGCUGGUCUGAGAGGAUGAUCAGCCACACUGGAACUGAGACACGGUCCAGACUCCUACGGGAGGAAGCAGUGGGGAAUAUUGGACAAUGGGCGCAAGCCUGAUCCAGCCAUACCGCGUGGGUGAAGAAGGCCUUCGGGUUGUAAAGCCCUUCUGUUGGGAAAGAAAAGCAGCAGGUUAAUACCCCGCUGUUCUGACGGUACCCAAAGAAUAAGCACCGGCUAGCUUCGUG
rnacentral:rRNA from 1 species